AGACCCGAAACCCGGUGAUCUAGCCAUGGGCAGGUUGAAGGUUGGGUAACACUAACUGGAGGACCGAACCGACUAAUGUUGAAAAAUUAGCGGAUGACUUGUGGCUGGGGGUGAAAGGCCAAUCAAACCGGGAGAUAGCUGGUUCUCCCCGAAAGCUAUUUAGGUAGCGCCUCGUGAAUUCAUCUCCGGGGGUAGAGCACUGUUUCGGCAAGGGGGUCAUCCCGACUUACCAACCCGAUGCAAACUGCGAAUACCGGAGAAUGUUAUCACGGGAGACACACGGCGGGUGCUAACGUCCGUCGUGAAGAGGGAAACAACCCAGACCGCCAGCUAAGGUCCCAAAGUCAUGGUUAAGUGGGAAACGAUGUGGGAAGGCCCAGACAGCCAGGAUGUUGGCUUAGAAGCAGCCAUCAUUUAAAGAAAGCGUAAUAGCUCACUGGUCGAGUCGGCCUGCGCGGAAGAUGUAACGGGGCUAAACCAUGCACCGAAGCUGCGGCAGCGACACUGUGUGUUGUUGGGUAGGGGAGCGUUCUGUAAGCCUGUGAAGGUGUGCUGUGAGGCAUGCUGGAGGUAUCAGAAGUGCGAAUGCUGACAUAAGUAACGAUAAAGCGGGUGAAAAGCCCGCUCGCCGGAAGACCAAGGGUUCCUGUCCAACGUUAAUCGGGGCAGGGUGAGUCGACCCCUAAGGCGAGGCCGAAAGGCGUAGUCGAUGGGAAACAGGUUAAUAUUCCUGUACUUGGUGUUACUGCGAAGGGGGGACGGAGAAGGCUAUGUUGGCCGGGCGACGGUUGUCCCGGUUUAAGCGUGUAGGCUGGUUUUCCAGGCAAAU
rnacentral:rRNA from 1 species